rnacentral:rRNA from 1 species
GACGAACGCUGGCGGCGUGCUUAACACAUGCAAGUCGAACGGAAAGGCCCUGCUUUUGUGGGGUGCCCGAGUGGCGAACGGGUGAGUAACACGUGAGUAACCUGCCCUUGACUUUGGGAUAACUUCAGGAAACUGGGGCUAAUAUCGGACAGGAGCUCCUGCUGCAUGGUGGGGGUUGGAAAGUUUCGGCGGUUGGGGAUGGACUCGCGGCUUAUCAGCUUGUUGGUGGGGUAGUGGCUUACCAAGGCUUUGACGGGUAGCCGGCCUGAGAGGGUGAACGGCCACAAUGGGACUGAGAUACGGCCCAGACUCCUACGGGGGGCAGCAGUGGGGAAUAUUGCACAAUGGGCGGAAGCCUGAUGCAGCAGCGCCGCGUGCGGGAUGACGGCCUUCGGGUUGUAAACCGCUUUCGCCUGUGACGAAGCGUGAGUGACGGUAAUGGGUAAAGAAGCACCGGCUAACUACGUG